rnacentral:lncRNA from 1 species
CCAUGGACCUUCAGACCAUCUCACCUCUGAACUCUGAGGCUUUUGGGGGACUUACAAAAUCUAAACCAUAAAAGAAGCAAGUAUGAACUUUCCUACAGGAAAUUUUUUCACUGUUACUCAAAAGGAUGCAAAGACCAAUAUUGUCUCAAGUCACAGAAAACAUCUGGUGUAAUUAGGGAAACUAAUUCAGUUUUUCUUUCUUUCAAAUUGUAUCUCUCUAAACCCGUGACAAAAAUUUUAAAACCGCCCUCUUCUGACGUCUGAGGACUUCCUCUGCACCAUCUGUGCUUUUGAAAUGUCAGCACUAUAAGUAUCUGAUACUGAGAACAAGCUGCAAGGAGCUCACAGAAAUAGGACUACUAACUUUUAUCAGAUUCAGCCCACUGCUUGCAUAGAUGGCAACAGAAACAAUCUGAUGUCCUUUACUUUGUGAAAAUGAUCUUCAUCAGAAACUGUUAGAAGCUGAGGGAGUCCUAUGAAUUAAUUGACACAAUAUUAAACGAAUUUGUUUAAGAAAUUAUGUAUAGUAAUUUACAGAUAUUGUUUUUAUUGAGAUACCAUAAAGAUAAGGAGCUCAUUCACUUUGAAUAUGCUUAAUUCUCAUUAAACCUUUAAAUUUUU